rnacentral:misc_RNA from 1 species
GAUGAAGAACGCAGCGAAAUGCGAUAAGUAGUGUGAAUUGCAGAAUUCAGUGAAUCAUCGAAUCUUUGAACGCACAUUGCGCCCUUUGGUAUUCCUUAGGGCACGCCUGUUCGAGCGUCAUUUAAACCUUCAAGCUCAGCUUGGUGUUGGGUGACUGUCCGCCGCCUCCGGGCGCGUGGACUCGCCUCAAAAUUAUUGGCGGCCGGUACAUUGGCUUCGAGCGCAGCAGAAACGCGAACUCGGGCCCGUCGUAUUGGCUCCCAGAAGCUAUCUUCACAAUUUUGACCUCGGAUCAGGUAGGGAUACCCGCUGAACUUAAGCAUAUCAAUAAGCGGAGGA